rnacentral:snRNA from 1 species
CCCAGUGGAAUGAUACAGAGAGGAUUAGCAUGACCCCAGCAGAAGGAUGACACAAAAAUUUGUGAAAUGUUCCAUAUUUUU